rnacentral:rRNA from 1 species
AAAAAAGCCACUAAGCUUCAGUUGAAUGAAGACCGUACCGUAAACCGACACAGGUGGGUAGGAUGAGAAUUCUAAGGCGCUUGAGAGAACUCAGGAGAAGGAACUCGGCAAAAUAGCACCGUAACUUCGGGAAAAGGUGUGCCCUUUGUAUGUGUAGCGCCUCGCGCGUGAAGCAGAAUAGGGUUGCAAUGAAAUGGUGGCUGCGACUGUUUAAUAAAAACAUAGCACUCUGCAAACACGAAAGUGGACGUAUAGAGUGUGACGCCUGCCCGGUGCCGGAAGGUUAAAUGAUGGGGUGCAAGCUCUUGAUUGAAGCCCCGGUAAACGGCGGCCGUAACGAUAACGGUCCUAAGGUAGCGAAAUUCCUUGUCGGGUAAGUUCCGACCUGCACGAAUGGCGUAACGAUGGCCACACUGUCUCCUCCUGGGACUCAGCGAAGUUGAAAUGUUUGUGAAGAUGCAAUCUCCCCGCGGCUAGACGGAAAGACCCCGUGCACCUUUACUGUAGCUUUACAUUGGACUUUGAUAACAUUUGUGUAGGAUAGGUGGGAGGCUUUGAAGUGGAUUCGCCAGAAUUCAUGGAGCCAACGUUGAAAUACCACCCUGAUGUUGUUGAGGUUCUAACCUAGAUCCAUUAUCUGGAUUGGGGACCGUGUAUGGUAGGCAGUUUGACUGGGGCGGUCUCCUCCCAAAUUGUAACGAAGGAGUACGAAGGUACGCUAGGUACGGUCGGAAAUCGUGCUGAUAGUGCAAUGGCAAAAGCGUGCUUGACUGCGAGACUGACAAGUCGAGCAGAUGCGAAAGCAGGUCAUAGUGAUCCGGUGGUUCUGUAUGGAAGGGCCAUCGCUCAACGGAUAAAAGGUACGCCGGGGAUAACAGGCUGAUUCCUCCCAAGAGUUCAUAUCGACGGGGGAGUUUGGCACCUCGAUGUCGGCUCAUCACAUCCUGGGGCUGUAGCCGGUCCCAAGGGUAUGGCUGUUCGCCAUUUAAAGUGGUACGUGAGCUGGGUUUAAAACGUCGUGAGACAGUUUGGUCCCUAUCUGCCGUGGGCGUUGGAAGUUUGAGUGGACCUGCUCCUAGUACGAGAGGACCGGAGUGGACGCACCUCUGGUGUACCGGUUAUGACGCCAGUCGUAUCGCCGGGUAGCUAUGUGCGGAAGAGAUAACCGCUGAAAGCAUCUAAGCGGGAAACUCUCCUCAAGAUGAGACUUCCCGAGGGUUUAACCCUCCUAAAGGUUCGUCGAAGACUACGACGUUGAUAGGUCGGGUGUGGAAGCAUAGUGAUAUGUUAAGCUAACCGAUACUAAUUGACCGUGAGGCUUGAUCCU